rnacentral:tRNA from 1 species
UCCCGGGUCGUCUAUUCGGUAAGACACCGCACUCUGGAUGCGGGGAGCUGGGUUCGAAUCCUGGCCUGGGAGCGA